AUACGGAGGGCGCAAGCGUUAAUCGGAAUUACUGGGCGUAAAGCGCGCGUAGGCGGUUUGGUAAGUCGGAUGUGAAAGCCCCGGGCUCAACCUGGGAAUUGCAUUCGAUACUGCCAGACUAGAGUAUGGUAGAGGGAAGCGGAAUUCCGGGUGUAGCGGUGAAAUGCGUAGAUAUCCGGAGGAACACCAGUGGCGAAGGCGACUUCCUGGACCAAUACUGACGCUGAGGUGUGAAAGUGUGGGGAGCAAACAGGAUUAGAAACCCUAGUAGUCC
rnacentral:rRNA from 1 species